rnacentral:tRNA from 1 species
UCCCUUGUAGCUCAGUUAGUAAAGAACCUGCCUGCCAUGCAGGAGACCCAGGUUCGAUCCCUGGGUCAGGAA